rnacentral:rRNA from 1 species
GAUGAACGCUGGCGGCGUGCCUAAUACAUGCAAGUCGAGCGAACGGACGAGAAGCUUGCUUCUCUGAUGUUAGCGGCGGACGGGUGAGUAACACGUGGAUAACCUACCUAUAAGACUGGGAUAACUUCGGGAAACCGGAGCUAAUACCGGAUAAUAUUUUGAACCGCAUGGUUCAAAAGUGAAAGACGGUCUUGCUGUCACUUAUAGAUGGAUCCGCGCUGCAUUAGCUAGUUGGUAAGGUAACGGCUUACCAAGGCAACGAUGCAUAGCCGACCUGAGAGGGUGAUCGGCCACACUGGAACUGAGACACGGUCCAGACUCCUACGGGAGGCAGCAGUAGGGAAUCUUCCGCAAUGGGCGAAAGCCUGACGGAGCAACGCCGCGUGAGUGAUGAAGGUCUUCGGAUCGUAAAACUCUGUUAUUAGGGAAGAACAUAUGUGUAAGUAACUGUGCACAUCUUGACGGUACCUAAUCAGAAAGCCACGGCUAACUACGUGCCAGCAGCCGCGGUAAUACGUAGGUGGCAAGCGUUAUCCGGAAUUAUUGGGCGUAAAGCGCGCGUAGGCGGUUUUUUAAGUCUGAUGUGAAAGCCCACGGCUCAACCGUGGAGGGUCAUUGGAAACUGGAAAACUUGAGUGCAGAAGAGGAAAGUGGAAUUCCAUGUGUAGCGGUGAAAUGCGCAGAGAUAUGGAGGAACACCAGUGGCGAAGGCGACUUUCUGGUCUGUAACUGACGCUGAUGUGCGAAAGCGUGGGGAUCAAACAGGAUUAGAUACCCUGGUAGUCCACGCCGUAAACGAUGAGUGCUAAGUGUUAGGGGGUUUCCGCCCCUUAGUGCUGCAGCUAACGCAUUAAGCACUCCGCCUGGGGAGUACGACCGCAAGGUUGAAACUCAAAGGAAUUGACGGGGACCCGCACAAGCGGUGGAGUAUGUGGUUUAAUUCGAAGCAACGCGAAGAACCUUACCAAAUCUUGACAUCCUUUGACAACUCUAGAGAUAGAGCCUUCCCCUUCGGGGGACAAAGUGACAGGUGGUGCAUGGUUGUCGUCAGCUCGUGUCGUGAGAUGUUGGGUUAAGUCCCGCAACGAGCGCAACCCUUAAGCUUAGUUGCCAUCAUUAAGUUGGGCACUCUAAGUUGACUGCCGGUGACAAACCGGAGGAAGGUGGGGAUGACGUCAAAUCAUCAUGCCCCUUACGAUUUGGGCUACACACGUGCUACAAUGGACAAUACAAAGGGCAGCGAAACCGCGAGGUCAAGCAAAUCCCAUAAAGUUGUUCUCAGUUCGGAUUGUAGUCUGCAACUCGACUACAUGAAGCUGGAAUCGCUAGUAAUCGUAGAUCAGCAUGCUACGGUGAAUACGUUCCCGGGUCU